AUUGAACGCUGGCGGCAGGCCUAACACAUGCAAGUCGAACGGAGCGUCGAACGGGUAAUUAAUGCCUGGUGAUCUGCCUGGUAGUGGGGUAUAACGUCCGGAAACAUGCCCUAAUACCGCAUACUAUCAGAUGACCUUCGGUCGGAUUAGCUAGUUGGUGGGGUAAUGGCCUACCAAGGCGACGAUCCUGAACUGGCCUGAGAGGAUGAUAAGUCACACUGGAACUGAGACACGGUCCAGACUCCUACGGGAGGCAGCAGUGGGGAAUAUUGGGCAAUGGGCGAAAGCCUGAUCCAGAAAUGCCGCGUGUGUGAAGAAGGUCUUCGGAUUGUAAAACACUUUAAGUUGGGAGGCGUUACAAACAGAAUAAGCAACGGCUAACUUCGUGCCAGCAGCCGCGGUAAUUC
rnacentral:rRNA from 1 species